GCCACUUAUACCUGACUGGCGGUUUGGCCGAGUGGUCUAAGGCGAUUGAGUACGUUUCACUUAAAAUCGAAGAUCCACCAUCGUUCACUAACCAUUCCUUCAGCUCGAAAUCAAUUCUCUUCGGAGGCGCAUGUUCGAAUCAUGCAGCCGUCGUGU